UGUAAUAAUUGGUUGGUCCACAGCACGAAGGUACACCGUCUCUAUCUGAUAAUCACUCUAACAUUUCUGAUUUUUCUGUUCAUCAACCUCCAAAAAACCCCAAAUCCAAAUUCCACGAGUAUUCUCUUCUUUCUCUCUGAAAGCUAACUGACAAAGAAAGUACCAAACCAUUUUUAGAAACAUUUUCGUGUUCUAAGUGGAAAAUUGUUUAAACAAAAUUUCGAAAACCGAAAGAUGUCGUGGCUGAGAUCCGCCGUGAACAAGGCAGUGGAGGUGGGGAACAAGAACAACCUAACACGCGCCGUCAAGAACUAUGCUGACUCUGUCGUUCAACAUGCGGGCCAAGCGGUCGCUGAAGGAGCCAAAAUCUUGCAAGAUCGCAUUGGUAAUCGAACUUUCAGAAGCAUUAAACAAACUGUAAAGAGACUGGAGGAGGCUGCUGUGUCUUGUAGAGGUCCUGAGAGGGUUUUGUUGCUGAGAAGAUGGUUGUUUCUGCUUAAAGAAGUUGGGAAGUUAUCUGAAGAUAAACAAAGGACUCUUGAGCAACACCUUUUUCCUGAUGAAGGCAAGGAAAAUCCAAGAAAACAGUCAAUGGUUCUAUAUUAUGAUUCCGAUGGUGGGGAUGAGCCAAUGAAUUUUCGUGAUGUUUUUCUCCGAAGUCAGGCUUUGGAAGGCAUAACGUUGUCCAUGAUUCUUGAAGCACCAAAUGAUGAAGAAAUUUCUUUGCUCCUGGAAAUGUUUGGGAUCUGUCUGACUGGAGGAAAAGAAGUUCAUAAUGCAAUACUGAGCAGUAUACAGGAUCUGGCUACAGCUUUUGCUAGCUACCAAGAUGAAGUGCUGGUGAAACGGGAGGAAUUGCUUCAAUUUGCACAAGGUGCUGUUUCAGGGCUGAAAAUUAGUGCUGAUCUUGGAAGAAUAGAUGCUGAAGCGAUUGAUCUGAAGAACAAACUUGAUGGAAUGAUUGGACUGGAGAAGCCAUCAAAUGAAGAUCAGGACAGAGCAUCUGAUGGAACGUUUCAGGCAAAUAUAGAGGUCCUGAAAGAAGCACUUUCACAAAUUCGUAUCUGUUCUAGAUUGGAAGGGCUUUUACGGAAAAAAAAAGAUUUGAACUUUGGAGACUCUCCGGAGAUUCAUGCUCUAAAGGUUGACAAAUUGAAGAUCUUGUCAGAGUCCCUUGCUAGCUCCGCAGCAAAAGCUGAAAAGCGCAUUUUAGAUCAAAGAAUUCAAAAAGAAGAGGCUCUGAAAGUUCGUGUUACCAAAGCUGAUGAAGCUAAUGAAAGAGAGAAGGAAAUAUCGGCUGAAAUUGCUGUACUUGAAAACCAAAGAGAUGAACUUGAAGCUCAAUUGAAGAAGGUUAAUAUCUCCUUGGCUGCUGCGAAUGCACGCCUUCGCAAUGCUAAGGAAGAAAGAGAUCAGUUUGAUGAAGCUAACAAUCAAAUCAUUGAGCACUUGAAAACAAAGGAAGAUGAGCUGUCAAAAUCUGUUGCUGCAUGCAAGGUAGAAGCAAAUGUCCUGAGUACCUGGAUUAAUUUUCUGGAAGACACUUGGGUUCUCCAGUGCUCAUAUGCAGAAAUGAAGCAGAAGCAGGUCAAUGAUGAACUGGAGAAGCAUGAGGAGUAUUUCGUGAACUUGGCAAUCCACCUUCUUUCUAGUUACAAGAAAGAGUUGGCGCCUGCUAUCAGCCGCAUUGAGAAAUUUGUGGAUAAUCUAAAGCAUUUAAGUGAAAGGUCAGAUAUGGCAGGUAGUUUGGAUCAUGAUGAUUCUAAAGUAAUUCACCCAAGGAAACAUCUCGAGGAGGAAUAUUUGGAAUAUGAAGCCAAGAUUAUAACUACCUUCAGUGUGGUGGAUCACAUGAGAGAACAACUCUAUGUUCAACCGGGGGCCAUCCACAGGAAAGAUGAUGCAAAGAUUAAAGAACUAUUAGAAGGUAUUGAAAAGUUGAGAAAGGAAUUUGAAGCCAUUGAAAGACCAAAUCUAGAAUUGGAGAAUCCACCAACACCAAAGACAGAGACUGCAUCUGAGAACCUAUGGGGAAGUCCAGUGCAAAACACAACACCAGAUGCUGGUACACCAAAAUCUGAGACAGACGGGCAACCCAAAGCACCUUCAGUUGAGGAACAGCUGGUGCUAGAUCCUGCAGCCGAACUAGCAAAGCUUGAGUCAGAGUUCGGGAAGGAUGCUCGAGAUUACUCAACAGAAGAGAUUGGUGACUGGGAGUUUGAUGAGCUAGAAAGGGAGUUGAAAUCUGGUGAUACAGCAACUAGUGACAGCUGAUGAGCUCUCCCUCAUCUGUGACUUCUGCAAUGAAUAUCGACUAAACAAGCAAGUCAAUAUAUUAAUAUGACCAAAAAGAAAAAAAAAAAAAAAAAAGUUGUGCGUGACCUCCCCGAAAGCUGAAUUUUAUGCCACGUGUUUUUCGGUGUAACUUAUUUGUAACAUUGGGUGUAGUUUCAAUUUGUUCAUUCUUCUGUAAAUUGUAAAAGUUGUAUGCCGGAAGACGAAAAAUGAAACUCAAUGAAUGUAAAUGUGGAACUACAAUUGUAUGGAAUAAAUGCAUUGACCUGUCAUUAGGUGCAAUCUUCA